rnacentral:rRNA from 1 species
AACGAACGCUGGCGGCAGGCCUAACACAUGCCAGUCGAACGCCCCGCAAGGGGAGUGGCAGACGGGUGAGUAACACGUGGGAACCUUCCCUAUAGUACGGAAUAGCCCAGGGAAACUUGGAGUAAUACCGUAUACGCCCGAAAGGGGAAAGAAUUUCGCUAUAGGAUGGGCCCGCGUAGGAUUAGCUAGUUGGUGAGGUAAUGGCUCACCAAGGCGACGAUCCUUAGCUGGUGUGAGAGAACGACCAGCCACACUGGGACUGAGACACGGCCCAGACUCCUACGGGAGGCAGCAGUGGGGAAUAUUGGACAAUGGGCGCAAGCCUGAUCCAGCCAUGCCGCGUGAGUGAUGAAGGCCUUAGGGUUGUAAAGCUCUUUUGGCGGGGACGAUAAUGACGGUACCCGCAGAAUAAGUCCCGGCUAACUUCGUG